rnacentral:rRNA from 1 species
UAGUCCACGCUGUAAACGAUGUCAACUUGCCGGUUGCACCUUGAAUUCCUAAUUCUCUGCAGCUAACGCUUAAGUAGCACCUUCCUGAGGGAGUACGGCCGCAAGAUUAAAACUCAAAUGAAUGACGGGGGCCCGCACAAGCGGUGGAGCAUGUGGUUUAAUUAGACGCAACGCGAAGAACCUUACCUGUCCUUGACAUCCAGAGAACUUUCCAGAGAUGGAUUGGUGCCUUCGGGAACUCUGAGACAGGUGCUGCAUGGCUGUCGUCAGCUCGUGUCGUGAGAUGUUGGGUUAAGUCCCGUAACGAGCGCAACCCCUAUCCUUGGUUGCUAGCAGGUAAUGUUGAGAACUCCAGGGAGACCCCCGGUGACAAACCGGAGGAAGGUGGGGAUGACGUCAGGUCAUCAUGUGCCCUUACGUCCAGGGCUACACACGUGCUACAAUGGCGCUACAGAGGCCUGUCUCAACCUCUGCCGAGAAGUGAGCCAAUCCCUAAAAUCGCGUCGUAGUCCGGAUUGGAGUCUGCACACCUCGACUCCGUGAAGUCGGAAUCGCUAGUAAUCUCGAGAUCUUGAACCUGCGCGGUGACUCGUUCCGGCCUUUUACACCC